AACGAACGCUGGCGGCAUGCCUAACACAUGCAAGUCGAACGAUGCCUUCGGGCAUAGUGGCGCACGGGUGCGUAACGCGUGGGAAUCUGCCUUUCGGUUCGGAAUAACUCAGGGAAACUUGAGCUAAUACCGGAUAACGUCGCAAGACCUAAGAUUUAUCACCGAAAGAUGAGCCCGCGUAGGAUUAGCUAGUUGGUGAGGUAAAGGCUCACCAAGGCGACGAUCCUUAGCUGGUCUGAGAGGAUGAUCAGCCACACUGGGACUGAGACACGGCCCAGACUCCUACGGGAGGCAGCAGUGGGGAAUAUUGGACAAUGGGCGAAAGCCUGAUCCAGCAAUGCCGCGUGAGUGAUGAAGGCCUUAGGGUUGUAAAGCUCUUUUACCCGGGAAGAUAAUGACGGUACCGGGAGAAUAAGCCCCGGCUAACUCCGUG
rnacentral:rRNA from 1 species